UGCUUUGCACAGUGGCAGUACUGUAGCCAAUGAGGUUUAUCCGAGGCACAAUUAUUGCUAAUUGAAAUGCUGAAUCCUGUUAAGUAGUACAAUUACGUCCACAUCUAAUCAAGGGUUUUUUGCUGUUACCAAUCAAAAAUG